AACGAACGCUGGCGGCAUGCCUAACACAUGCAAGUCGAACGAGACCUUCGGGUCUAGUGGCGCACGGGUGCGUAACGCGUGGGAACCUGCCCUUAGGUUCGGAAUAACUCCCCGAAAGGGGUGCUAAUACCGGAUAAUGUCUUCGGACCAAAGAUUUAUCGCCUUUGGGUGGGCCCGCGUUGGAUUAGCUAGUUGGUAGGGUAAAAGCCUACCAAGGCGACGAUCCAUAGCUGGUCUGAGAGGAUGAUCAGCCACACUGGGACUGAGACACGGCCCAGACUCCUACGGGAGGCAGCAGUGGGGAAUAUUGGACAAUGGGUGAAAGCCUGAUCCAGCAAUGCCGCGUGAGUGAUGAAGGCCUUAGGGUUGUAAAGCUCUUUUACCCGGGAUGAUAAUGACAGUACCGGGAGAAUAAGCUCCGGCUAACUCCGUG
rnacentral:rRNA from 1 species